UACUUUUGAGUAUUUAGCUGAUCUUCCUUUUUCUCUAUAUUAGCCAAUCAGAGUGCGGCAUUUAGUCGCGCGAUGUUUUGACUACGUCACUUUAACUGUCAGCUGUCAACAAUUUUGUAAACACCGCAGUCAACCCACCCUCCUUCCCCUUCAUCACCAGUGUAGUUGGGGAUUUAUUUUGCAAUGUAUUACACAUGUUUGUUGCUGUUGAUGUAUGAAAUGCUGUUUUUGUUCAACAAUAUUUUUGUUGCAUGUAUAUUUGGUACAUGUUAUAAUGUAUACAUCUUUGUUUAAUAUGGGGGAGGUCAUUUGCUCACCUUUUAUAACUUACAUUCAAUGUCUGGUAAUGGAUAUUAUGACUGUUUGAAGACCUCCCCUUAUUGCCUAAUUUUUCUUAUUAGCAAAAAUAAAUGGCAGUACAUACACAC
rnacentral:sRNA from 1 species